rnacentral:rRNA from 1 species
AGGGCAUACGGUGGAUGCCUUGGCGCAUUGCGGCGAUGAAGGACGUGGUCACCUGCGAAAAGCCCUGGGGAGUCGUCAACAGGCUGUGAGCCGGGGAUAUCCGAAUGGGGGAACCCGCCGGUCGUCAUGGAUCGGCACGGUGAUCUGAAUUCAUAGGGUCAUCGAGCGGGGAACUGAACCAUCUCAGUACCCGGAGGAAGAGAAAUCAAACGAGAUUCCCGGAGUAGCGGCGAGCGAAAAGGGAAGAGCCCAAACCAGCCCGAUGCGAUAGGGCGUAUCCGAUGUCAGGCUGGGGUUGUGGGGGUGUCAGGGGGCGUCAUACGCGAGGCCCCGCCUUGAGCACAGGGGACCGGAAGUGUCCUGGAACGGCAGACCAGAGCGGGUGAGAGUCCCGUACGGGCAGCCUGUGCGAAGAGGUGUUGACACACCCCGAGUACCACGGGGUACGAGCCGUCCUGUGGGAAGCUGGGAGGCCCACCUUCCAAGGCUAAAUACAGCAAUGCGACCGAUAGUGCACUAGUACCGUGAGGGAAAGGUGAAAAGCACCCUGAUUGAGGGGAGUGAAACAGAACCUGAAACCGUAUGUUUACAAGCUGUCAGCGUCCUGUGGCGACAUGGGACUAUGGCGUGCCUUUUGCAUAAUGAGCCGGCGAGUGAUCGUCAGAUGCGAGGUUAACGCAAGGAGCGGGAGCCGGAGCGAAAGCGAGUCUGAAGAGGGCGUCAAGUAUCUGGGGGUCGACCCGAAACCGAGUGAGCUAUCCAUGGUCAGGCUGCAGCCUUCGUAACAGGAGGUGAAGGGCCGAACCCGAGCAGGUUGAAAACUGCGGGGAGGAACUGUGGAUAGGGGUGAAAGGCCAAUCAAACUCGGAGAUAGCUGGUUCUCCUCGAAAUUGCUUUAGGGCGAGCCUCUGGUGGUGCGUGUUGGGGGUAGAGCACUGAUUGGGUUAAGGUCCUGCGAGGGAUACUGUCCCCAGUCAAACUCCGAAGUCCAGCAACGCGAGCCAGGGAGUGAGACAGUGGGGGAUAAGCUUCAUUGUCGAGAGGGAAACAGCCCAGACCAACCGCUAAGGUCCCCAACCGUUUGUUAAGUGGGCAAGGAUGUGGGUGCGCCGAGACAGCCAGGAGGUUGGCUUAGAAGCAGCCAUCCUUGAAAGAAAGCGUAAUAGCUCACUGGUCAAGUGAACCUGCGCCGACAAUAUACCGGGGCUAAAACAAACGACCGAAGCGUUGGGAUGAUCGGAAGGUCAUCAGUAGAGGAGCGUCCUGUGGGCAGAGAAGGGUCGCCGGGAGGCGGUCUGGAGCGUACAGGAGUGAAACUGCCGGCAUGAGUAACGAAAAAACAGGUGAGAGUCCUGUUCGCCGAAAUUCUCAGGGUUCCUCGGGCAAGGUGAGUCCGCCCAGGGUUAGUCGGGGCCUAAGUCGAGGCCGAGAGGCGUAGAUGAUGGGAAACCGGUGAAGAGUCCGGUACCACUGGUCAUGUGUUUGAGCGAGGGGGGUGACGUGUGGCGCGAGGCCGGCCCGUGAGUGGUAGAACGGGUGGAACCGCCGCGACGGGGCGUGAGGGAAAUCCCAUGCCGGAAAGUUAGAGCGGGAGACCGGGUUGUGAGACCAGAAGCGGUUGAGCGCGCGACACCAAGAAAAGCCCUCUAGUGAAUAUGACGGGUGCCCGUACCCGAAACCGACACAGGUAGAAACGGAAGUACUCCGAAGGCGUGUGAGCGAACCCUCGUUAAGGAACUCGGCAAAUUAACCUCGUAACUUCGGGAUAAGAGGUACCCGGGUACCGUGUAAGAGCGGGAGCGGGUGGCACAGAGCAGGCCCAGGCGACUGUUUACUAAAAACACAGGUCUCUGCGAAGUCGCAAGACGCGGUAUAGGGACUGACGCCUGCCCGGUGCCGGAAGGUUAAGUGGAGGGGUCAUGGACGCGAGUCCGGCAGCUCUCCGGUAAACGGCGGCCGUAACUAUAACGGUCCUAAGGUAGCGAAAUUCCUUGUCGGGUAAGUUCCGACCUGCACGAAUGGCGUAACGACUUGGGCGCUGUCUCAACGAGGGGCUCAGUGAAAUUGAACUCCCGGUGAAAAUGCCGGGUACCCACGACAAGACGGAAAGACCCCGUGCACCUUUACUAUAGCCUGGCGUUGGGUUUUAGGGGAAUUUGUGUAGGAUAGGUGGGAGACGGAGAAGCGGGUCCGCUAGGAUGCGUGGAGUCGUCCUUGAAAUACCACCCUGAUUGCUUUGAAAUCCUCACUGCCUGGUCGGAAGCGACCAGCAGGACCGGGCCAGGUGGGUAGUUUGACUGGGGCGGUCACCUCCUAAAGUGUAACGGAGGUGUGCGAAGGUGCCCUCAGGCUGUAUAGAAAUCAGUCGGCGAGUGCAAAGGCAGAAGGGCGCUUGACUGCGAGACCGACGGGUCGAGCAGAUGCGAAAGCAGGUCUUAGUGAUCCGGUGGUGCUGCGUGGCAGGGCCAUUGCUCAACGGAUAAAAGGUACGCCGGGGAUAACAGGCUGAUCCUGCCCGAGAGUUCCUAUCGACGGCGGGGUUUGGCACCUCGAUGUCGGCUCAUCGCAUCCUGGAGCUGAAGCAGGUUCCAAGGGUUUGGCUGUUCGCCAAUUAAAGCGGUACGCGAGCUGGGUUUAGAACGUCGUGAGACAGUUCGGUCCCUAUCUGUCGUGGGCGGAAGGAGAUUUGCGAGGGGCUGUCCUUAGUACGAGAGGACCGGGAUGGACACACCACUGGUGCACCAGUUGUUCCGCCAGGGGCAGCGCUGGGUAGCCACGUGUGGACGGGAGAACCGCUGAAAGCAUCUAAGCGGGAACCCCACCUCCAGAUGAGAUCUCCCGGGGGCGGAAGCCCUCCGAAGGUUCCU